GGACGACUCCGAAGCUGUAAACGUCGCUCUUCUCGUUGAGGCGGUAACAUUGGUAAUACUCGGGAUCAACAUAUCCCGGGGUUCCUUGCGGCGCGGUGGAGAUAUGAGUUUGAUCCGUGGAAAACAACCGUGAGAGACCAAAGUCAGCUACUUUCACUUGGUAGUUGCUAUCUAGAAGAAUGUUUGUAGUCUUCACAUCUCUGUGUAUGAUUCCUGAAAGCAUGUUGUUACGGACCAGUUUGUGUGGUUACCUGAGGCAUGGAGAAAAGACAAUGCAUUAGCGGUUUGAAUGGCGAUGUUGAGUCUUGCAGGCCAGCAAAUAGGACGAGACUGUGCUUGGUCUCCAUGGAGAUGAUCAGCGAGUGUGCCAUUAGAGAUGUAUUCAUACACCAAGAGUAGCUCUCUGCUAUGUCUUGUCGUGCAUCCGUAUAGAAUCACUAGGUUCGGGUGUUUCAAGUUCCUCAAGAUAUCAAUCUCGUUCUUGAAUUGCUCAACUCGUCUUAGUGAUCUCUCGAAGAGUCGUUUUACAGCUACUGCUCGUCCGUCCUUUAGUAUGCCUUCACGAAUUUUUCUUUAAGCUUUUAAAAACCCAAGUUUGAAGGUUUUUAUUUGUUAUGUAAUUAGAGUUUUGGUUCUUACCGUAGUAGACAGUACCAAAUCCUCCAUCUCCAAGCUCUCUUGAGAAAUUCGCGGUGGCUUCCUCGAGUUCUUCGUAGCUGAAGACUUGAACUCCGAAGUAGACGUCGCUUCCAUUUGCAAGGUUGGAGAUUGACGGCAUGAGAGAGUGGUUGCUUCCGGAGAUUGUUGUGGAAGUUGGAGUGUUGGACAUUGUAUUACUGCUUGAAUAAGGAGAUGUUGUUGAUAGGCCUUUGCUUGUGUUUUGAGCUGCCAGUUUCUUUCUUCUCCAUAUGAAACAGAGUACAGCUCCUGCUAAAAGAGUGGCACCCAAGAACCCGCCAGCGAAUCCGAUUCCUAGAGACGAGCAAAAAGACAAGGGCUUUGUUAGGUUGCCUCAAGAACCCACAAGGUAUGUUUUACUGGAAUUAGAUUCCUCGAAAGUUAAAGAACAGUCAUCUACCUAGUUUCUGUUUGUGGGUGAGUGCUGCAUCAACAAAUACCAUGAGAAAUAUGUUAGUUCAAACUGACGACAGAACUCAAGAUCAUAGUAUAUAAAACGAGGUUUGCACUCAAGGGAGUUUCUCUGAAUGGUCACUAGAAAAGGAAUGUAAUAAAUCAUAUUCAUGUUAGCUAAAUUAGUUCCAGUUAAAAGGUGAGGUUGGUAGAUGGGGUAGUAUACUAGUAUGCAGUGGUUAAGGAAGGGAUGAGAUCUGGAUUUUUUGGAAGAAGAUUAACAAUUACUUUCAAACCGAACUAAAAUUUAGAUUAACUGAAAUAGUGAAUUUAGAUUCCUUGGAAGGAAGAGAAUAGUCACCUACCUGAUUUCUUUGAUUCGGUGAGUGCUGCAUCAAAAAAUACCAUGAGAUAUGUGUUAGUUCAAACUCAAGACAGAGCUUACAAUCAUAUUUAAAACAAGGCUUGAAACUCUAGGGAGUUUCUCUCAUCGGUCACCGUAAAGGAACAUAACAGAUCAUAUCUAUGUCAGCAAGAGAGUUCCAGUGAAAAGGUAAGGUUGGUAAGUGGGUAGUAUGCAGUGGGUUAAGGAAGGAAUGAGAUGUGGAUCUUGUGGAAGAAGAUUAGGACAUUAGUUUCAAACUUUCUGAGAUUCGCAUUAACUAAAAUAGUGAAUUUAGAUUCCUAGAAAGGAAAAGAAUAGAGAACCUACCUGAUUUUGUAGGUCUGUAGGGUCCUGCAUGAACAAAUACCAUAAGAAAAAGCUAACUCAAGACAGAACAACUGAGGGAGGGGAAAGGAUAAAUCAUUACUCUUCUUUGGUAUCCCAGAAUCGCAAGUAUGGUUGCUAGGCCCGUCCACACAGUAGCAAACGAAUGCUCUCGAGCUAUCAUUAUAACCACAAGCACCAUGCGAUUCUUUGCAUUUCCAACAUUCAGUGGUAAACAUAACCUCGAAACCAUCCUUAAGAGCCUUCUCUAUAGCCUCCAGAGUCGGACUUCCGUCUUCAAUACUCAAGGCAUAUCGAGAUACAGGAAUACUGACAUUUCUUUCACACGAUGCGCUUGAAUUUUC